UACGGAGGGUCCAAGCGUUAUCCGGAAUCAUUGGGUUUAAAGGGUCCGAAGGCGGGCAAUUAAGUCAGGGGUGAAAUGGUGCGGCUCAACUGUAGCACUGCCCUUGAUACUGGUUGGCUUGAGUGAUGGUGAGGUGGUUAGAAUGUGUAGUGUAGCGGUGAAAUGCAUAGAUAUUACAUAGAAUACCAAUUGCGAAGGCAGAUCACUAACAUUGCAUUGACACUGAUGGACGAAAGCGUGGGGAGCGAACAGG
rnacentral:misc_RNA from 1 species